GCCUAGGCUCACGGAGGCGAUGAAGGACGUGAUAAGCUGCGAUAAGCUUCGGGUAGGUGCAAAUAACCUUUGAUCCGAAGAUUUCCGAAUGGGGCAACCCGGCUGGUAGAAGGCCAGUCAUUCCGUAAGGAAGGCGAACGUGGGGAACUGAAACAUCUAAGUACCCAUAGGAGAAGAAAACAAAAGUGAUUCCGCAAGUAGUGGCGAGCGAACGCGGAACAGCCCAAACCGAUGAUGUUUAGGCAUUGUCGGGGUAGUAGGACCACGUUGUGGCAAGAGAUUAAGGAAGUAGAACGUUUUGGAACAAACGGCCGUAGACGGUGAAAGCCCAGUAUACGACUCUUUAACGAAGCCUAGUGGAAUCCUGAGUAGCGCGGAGCACGAGAAAUUCUGUGUGAAUCAGCGGGGCCCAUCCCGUAAGGCUAAAUACUCCCGAGAGACCGAUAGCGAACCAGUACUGUGAAGGAAAGGUGAAAAGCACCUCGAACAGAGGAGUGAAAUAGUCCCUGAAACCGUCUGCCUACAAGCGGUCGGAGCAACGUAAGUUGUGACGGCGUGCCUUUUGCAUAAUGAACCUACGAGUUACUUUCUCCGGCAAGGUUAAGGGCUUCAGGCCCGGAGCCGAAGCGAAAGCGAGUCUUAAUAGGGCGUGAUAGUCGGAGUGAGUAGACGCGAAACCAAGUGAUCUACCCUUGGUCAGGAUGAAGGUUGGGUAGCACCAACUGGAGGUCCGAAUGGGUAUACGUUGAAAAGUGUUCCAAUGAACUGAGGGUAGGGGUGAAAGGCUAAUCAAACUUGGAGAUAGCUCGUACUCCCCGAAAUGCAUUUAGGUGCAGCCUUUAUUUAGUAUAGCAUGAGGUAGAGCGACUGAUUGGAUGCGAGGGCUUCACCGCCUAUCAAGUCCAGAUAAACUCCGAAUGCGUGCUAUAUAUUGAUAAGGAGUGAGGGCGCGGGUGCUAAGGUCCGCGUCCGAGAGGAGAAGAAUCCAGACCAUCAGCUAAGGUCCCCAAAUAACAGUUAAGUUGAACUAACGAAGUCGGACUGCAGAGACAGCUAGGAUGUUGGCUUGGAAGCAGCCAUUCAUUUAAAGAGUGCGUAACAGCUCACUAGUCGAGGAGUCCGGCGUGGAUAAUACUCGGGCAUAAACUGUUUACCGAAGCUAUGGAUGUAGAAAUACAUGGUAGGGGAGCAUUCCAACGGCGUCGAAGGUGAAGGAUGACCUUUGCUGGAGCUUUUGGAAACGCAAAUGUAGGUAUAAGUAACGAUAAAGGAGGUGAGAAACCUCCUCGCCGAAAGACUAAGGUUUCCUGAUCAACGUUAAUCGGAUCAGGGUAAGUCGGGACCUAAGGUUAAGCCGAACGGCGAUACCGAUGGAAGAAUGGUUUAAUAUUCCCAUACUACUUUAUGGAGCGAUGUGGAGACGGAGAAGUGAAAGUCCUGCCAUCUGACGGAAUAGGUGGUUGAAGAGUGUAGAUGUAGAUUCCUGUAGGCAAAUCCGCAGGGAGAGUCGACCUUGAUAGUAUGCCGCGUGCUUGCACAAGGCAAAAUGGACGUAAUCAGGCUCCCAAGAAAAUCCGCUAAGCAUAUUCAUAAAGUACCCGUACCGUAAACGGACACACGUAGUUGGGUUGAAAAUACUGAGGCGCUCGAGUGAUUCACGGUUAAGGAACUAGGCAAAUUGACCCUGUAACUUCGGGAUAAAGGGUCCCUACUGAGAGGUAGGGCGCAGAGAAUAGGUCCAGGCAACUGUUUAACAAAAACACAUGGCUGUGCGAAAUAGAAAUAUGAAGUAUACAGCCUGACACCUGCCCGGUGCUGGAAGGUUAAGAGGAGAGCUCAUCGCAAGAGAAGGCUUGAAUUGAAGCCCCAGUAAACGGCGGCCGUAACUAUAACGGUCCUAAGGUAGCGAAAUUCCUUGUCGGGU
rnacentral:rRNA from 1 species